rnacentral:rRNA from 1 species
CGGAGGGCGCAAGCGUUGUUCGGAAUCACUGGGCGUAAAGCGCGUGUAGGCGGCCGGGCAAGUCGGAUGUGAAAUCCCGAGGCUCAACCUCGGAACUGCACUCGAAACUGCUCGGCUAGAGUCGCGGAGAGGAUGGCGGAAUUCCCGGUGUAGGGGUGAAAUCCGUAGAUAUCGGGAGGAACACCAGUGGCGAAGGCGGCCAUCUGGACGCUGACUGACGCUGAGACGCGAAAGCGUGGGGGAGCAAACAGGAUU